rnacentral:rRNA from 1 species
GCAGCAGCCGCGGUAAAACGGAGGGGGCUAGCGUUGUUCGGAAUUACUGGGCGUAAAGCGCACGUAGGCGGCUUUGUAAGUUAGAGGUGAAAGCCUGGAGCUCAACUCCAGAAUUGCCUUUAAGACUGCAUCGCUUGAAUCGCGGGGAGGUGAGUGGAAUUCCGAGUGUAGAGGUGAAAUUCGUAGAUAUUCGGAAGAACACCAGUGGCGAAGGCGGCUCACUGGACGCGUAUUGACGCUGAGGUGCGAAGCGUGGGGAGCAAACAGGAUUAGAUACCCGCGUAGUCCCUGUCUCUUAUACA